UUGUUGUUGACAAGUAUGGAGCUUUCAGGAUCUUUAUCUCCUUUUGUUGCCAAUAUGACAGCUCUGACUAAUAUCUGGCUAGGGAAUAACAGUUUGUCAGAGCACAUUUCUGACCUAGGUUCACUAACACUGUUAGAAAUAUUGCACUUGGAAGACAAUCAAUUCGACGGAGAGAUUCCUUCAUCCCUAGGGAACAUAAGCACUUUGCAUAAAGUGUAAACUCUGUCCUCUUUAUACAAGAGAAUUAAACUGGUUUUUUGUGGUGUUUCUUGAAUCCUGAGUAGAUAUUUAAGUCAGCCCUGUACAACUACGUUGUUUACAUGAGUGUGGCCCAAAAAUAGUACAAUUUAUUUGAAUUCCUUUUGCCGAUAAAUUAAUUGGAUCAAGACUUUGUUACCUAAUGUGUAUUUGUGUUUGUCGAUUUCAAUUUUAUGACUUUGUGACAUAGCUUGGCAGUAUUUUUUUUGAAUUGAUUGAAAAACCGAACAAACCGAACCAAACCAAACCGAUUUUAAUUGGUUUGGUUUGGUUCAGAUGGUCUUGAGAAAAAAACCGAACAAAACUGAACCGCAGUUUAAUUAAACGAUUGGAUCGGAUGGCUUUUCUCUCAAAAACCAAACCAAACCGCACCGCGAACACCCCUAUUGGAAAGGGUCAAAGAGCU